UAAUAUAAUAGGCAGGAAUCGAAUCCGGCUCGACAGAUUAGUAGUACAAGAUCGAGUGCCCAAUCUCGGCGACAAUGAGCUUAACGCGGCCGGUAUAUAAGGAAUGCUAUAAACUUUAAACCGGUUUUUCUCAAAAACAAUUGAAUAUGGCGUUCUAUCCAUUUACUUAAGUACUCUUCUAGUAGAAUACUUUAACAUAUAUAAGUCUUUUUAAAAUCGGUGUUCCCCAGUUCGCAUCAUCCCCUUGUAAGUGCUACGUAUGCCAUGUAUGAUAGGUUAAAAUAAAAAAACGUCACGCUGCGCGAGAAGACAGUAAGAGGGAACGACCGCACUCGGAUAUACACUGCCAGUACUGAGAAUCCAUAGGUCACAUAACGUAUAUUAUAGAUUUUUAGUGGCAGUGUAUCGGAACAUGAUCAAAAAGAGUGAAACCGCAAUUUUGUCUUUUGUAAAAAACUUUGUGGAAAAGUGCUCAGAUAGUAUUAUUUCUCAUAGUUUUGUUUCUGUCACAAUGAGUGAAAGUAAAGUUGAAAGAUUUUUGGAAAAAAUCAACUUGAAAAUGUACUGGCCCACAUUUAAUCUAGUAUACGAAUGAUGUCAAUAAUAUCUGCGUGUAAUUCGCAACUUCCCAGUUAUUACAUGCUGCUGUAAUCAUUCCAGUGAUACACAAAAGGCGUAUAAUAUCGGCAUGUAAUCCAUUACAAAUAGUUACUAGAUAGUAAUAUCGAGAGUAAGCAUUACAUAGCGGCCGUAAUAACUACACAGCCAUUUGUAAUAAGCACACAGCUGGCAGUAGUUCCUUUUCGUAAAGGAUAUCAAGUCUUAAAAAAAUGUUCACUUCAGAAAUGAAUAAAAUAUAAUAGAGCAACCUCGUUCAAUUAUGUCAGGACAAAUUGACUACAGAGAUUAUUUCAAGAUCAACUUCAUUUUUUCUAAAUAUUAGAUCAUUAAGAAUAAAAUAUCCGAUUUCCUUAAGUUUGAGAGUCGAUAUCUCUGAUCUGUCGAUAUCACUGACAAUUCUUGUUUUUUUUUAUUCUUAAGGUUAUUUGAUAUUAUUACCCUUUUAAAUACAUUUUUAUUUGCAAUUUUCUUUUGAAUUGCGUUUUUCAGAUCAAUUUUUGCCAAGCCAUGGAUAAGUCAAAAAUUCGUGUUAUUUUAUUAAACAUAAGUUCCGUCGUGGAACCAAUGCAGCGCAGACAGCUCGAAAUAUCAAUGACAUGAAGAUGUGACUAAUGAACGCACAAUAUACCGAUGAUUUAAGAAGUUUCGUUCUGGCGAUUUUACUCUUAAAAAUGAGUCAUGUGGGCGACCUGAGAUCAAGGUAAAAAAUAAUGAGUUGAAAGCUAUAUAGUGGAAGCAGAUACAUUUCAAACUAUGCGUAAAUUAGCAGAAAGAUUUGACGUUUUUAUUCCGUUUACUAUUCCAAUAAUAUUGAAUCAUCUGAAAGAAAUCGAAAGGUAAAGAAGCUGGAUAGAUGGGUGCCACAUGAAUUAAACGAGAAGAGAAGAGAAACUGUCUUGAAGUUUGCUUUAUUGUCACGGCAUAAAGGCAUUUCUACAUCAUAUUGUUACGUGUGAUGAAAAUGGAUAUUUUUCGAAAAUCGCAAGCGGAAGGUUGGAUAAAAAUAAAAUGCCGAAACACGAUCCAGCGUUAGUAUAAUUCACUACAACUUCAUAAAAUCUGGUCAAUUACAGCAGGUGUCUACUGUAACUAAUUGGACGAAAUGAUAAGGGAACUUGUAAUUAAGCAGCCUAGAUUGGUCAACAGAAAUAGGUCAAUCCUCUUACACGACAACGCUUGACCACAUGUCGCACAAACAAUGCUGUUCAAUUUAAAAGAGCUGGACUUAGAAACUCUGUGUCGCUCACCAUAUUCAUCAGAUCUUGCGCUAACUGAUUACCACUUCUUUCAGGCAUUGGACCACUUCUUGCAAGGAAAAAUAUUUAAUUCUUAACAAACUGUGAAAAACGCCUGUUGCGAUUUCAUUGCCAUUCACUUUCCAGGCUCCUUUGCUGCCGGCAUAAAUAAGGUACUAAUGGCAAAACUGUAUCGUGAUAGUUUAGGGGUAUACUUUGAUUAAUUGUACUGCUUCUUGUUUGAAAUAUAUAAUGAACCAAACUUUUAAUUUCAAA